rnacentral:snRNA from 1 species
GUGCCUGCUUUGGCAGCACAUAUACUAAAAUUGAGAAGAUUAGCAUGGACCCUGUGCAAGGAUGACAUGCAAAUUUGUGAAGCAUUUCAUUAUCUU